GGAUGGAGCUGAGUAGCAUUGUGCCCCUGUUGUCAGAAGAGAGAGCUGGAGACGCACUAGAACUGGCAGAACAGCUAGCUAUAUAGCCAGAGGUCUCAGCCCUCUUCCUGUGUUUCAAGAUGACCUUGGUGAGAAUUGCUGCCUAGCAACUAAUAAUAUGGGAACAUUGCUUCCAUCAUGGACAGAGAGAAACCCAACUGCUCAGACCUACUCCCUUGCCUCAGAGCUCAUCAGUGGGAGAUGUUGCUAGGUAGACCCAACUACCUCAUCUUGCAUUUCCCAGAACCACCUUUCAACCUUGAUUAAAAACAGGU